CAGCCGCCACGGUAAUACGAAGGGUGCAAGCGUUACUCGGAAUUACUGGGCGUAAAGCGUGCGUAGGUGGUGGUUUAAGUCCGUUGUGAAAGCCCUGGGCUCAACCUGGGAAUUGCAGUGGAUACUGGGUCACUAGAGUGUGGUAGAGGAUAGUGGAAUUUCCGGUGUAGCAGUGAAAUGCGUAGAGAUCGGAAGGAACAUCUGUGGCGAAGGCGACUAUCCGGGCCAACACUGACACUGAGGCACGAAAGCGUGGGGAGCGAACAGGAUUAGAGACCCCGGUAGUCCCUGUCUCUUAUAC
rnacentral:rRNA from 1 species